UGUCGUGUCCUGUCCUGUGUCACGGGUGUCUGCACAUAUUUGUCCCGGAGCUGCUCUGUCCUGCUGCAUAGCCUGGUGUAAUUGCACAAGUCCUGGAGACCUGCAAUUUGGAAUGGGGGAUGUAGUUGUAUUCUAGAUGGUAUUCCUAGAUUCACACAGGAUGCUUGGACCUGUUAAGUUAUCCUACAGUUGUUUGAAUUUUCUCCUAACUUUCUUUCAGAUGCAGACAUUGAAGAUCUGUGGCAGAGCGCCCCUCCUGGGUCAGGGGGUUUUCCCUGAGAAGGAAGUCCAGGCAGAGAGCUGCAGUCAAGGCCAAGUGUGCCAGGCCAUCCACUCGGCGUACGCUAAGCCCAUGUCAUCAGGUGGCGGACGGACCGGGUUUCCUGCACUCGUGAGCCCUCCGGAAGUAUGACGGGACCCCGUGAUGAAGCCCACACAUCUUGUAUUUCAAGGUCCCGUC